UCCUGAUUGACUUUGGGUGCUUGCUGUAGAUGCUGAGAGGUGCAAAUGCAGUUUUCUGGAUUGAGCUUCAUAGAUCUCGGCAAAAAAUUACUGCUUACUCUUUGUGGAGAAGACAGCAAGCAGAGGCAAGUCAGAACCUUCUGAACUGGUGAAUCAAUGACCAAGUCUAUGAACAGACCCUAGGGCUCAUCCCAUCCCCACUGAGGCCUCUUGGACAGCCAAACUCUACAGUGGCUGCAGACAGAUGCACCCCUCGAUGUCCCAACACCUAACUGCAAGUGUCACUUCUAACUCCAGGCAUCAGCACCCAUGGAGGAGCUAAGCCAGCUGGAAAGCAGCUCUG